UUUUUUUGAAAAUUGUUCAGUAAGUAACCUAUAGCUGUUAACAUGUAGGUCACAUGGUCCCUGGUGGAAAGUUGUCUAAAUGGCAAUAAUAUCACAUUUUUUAACUUGUAGAUUUUCAUUUCAAUAUUUGUCUGUGCAAACUAUUUCAGCCACAAGUAAGACGCUACUUUUAAAGUUUUAUAGAAAGCUGAUUCUAAGAAUUAAUGGAAAGCUCAUAAACUAAUAAAGGGCUGCACUUUAGCGCAUGAUACGCCCGUUGCUCUUUUAACUUGUCUUUUAUGCUUUAAAUGAAUUUAUAUGAUCAACUAGAAAUAUAUAUACAAAUCAAAAGGGAUGUUACAUUAAUAUAUUCACCAAAGUUUCAUAAAAUCCCCCCUUUUUGGAAAGAUUAGAACUUGUUCUAAAUCUUUACUUAGGCACUGGCCUCCAUAACAACAGGACAGGUUAGCUAUUGUUACUUAAUGUAUUCACACUGAAAUAUAGUUCCCUAUGUUCUCAUGUAUGUGCACAUAAAACACAUAUAAACUGAAAAAAAACUGGGUAUAUUAUUGGAGCAGUUCAUUCAAGAAUGUAUGUCAUUAAGGUGUGUUGAUGUGCAGGCUUUUUUUUAAAAAAAACAUGUUGAUUAGGUAACUGGGUAUUGAUUCAACUAGAAGUAUGAUUGACAACUGUCAUUAUCACUAAACAAUCAGAGACAAGGUGGACCUUUAAUUACAAUGCCCCACCUCCUAAACUGCCAAUCAAAUUGACCACAUUACCUAUCAACCUCAGUCUUACAUAAUUAUACAGACCACUAAAUAUACAUAUAAUUCUUAAUACACAAGUAUUUGACCUCAUAAUUGAAUCCACAAAUGUGUAUAUUAGAUGUUUGAUAUUUAUAAGGAUGAUAGAUUUAUUUAUUGCCAAUUACUUUUGAUCUACAUUACAUAUAGUCACCGUCACGCGGACAGAUAUCUGUAAAUUAUAUCUGAAAGACAAAUUAUUAAUGGAUUAACAAGAAGGAAUUGGCUUGAAACAGUUUAAAAAUUUUAAAACUUUUAAUUAUAACAAACCAUUGUUUAUUAGUUUAUUUCCCAUCAAUCAGUAUGUCUAUUUUAGUCAUUUGAAUUUUUAUUAGAAGUGAAUAUAUAUUUUUACAAUCGAGAAAGAAUCCACAUUUCAAUAAGAUAAGUUUUUCAAUUGGUUAACGUUGAAAAAGUACAUUUUCAAUGCCCUGUGUUGAAAAAUACUUUAAAAAAUGAUCAAAAGGCACUCUAAAACUUUUAAUCUUCAAUGCCAUAUAACCUCUGUUUCAACUUACAAAAUGCCCCAAAACAACAUUUUUCAAUUUUUUUUUGUUGACACUUGAAAGUUUUAAGGUGUUGGUCCAGAUUUAUGUCUUACAAGGAUAGUUGGUAACAUUUACUAGAAGAAUUUUGCAUUUUUUGUUUUUUUUGAAACAUGUUCAGAACCGGCAACAUAAUUUCGAUAAGAUAUAAACUGCAGUUUAAAUAAAAUUGUGCAAAUUAAGAGACCCAUAUUAUUUAAUUUGAGCUUGUUUUAUCCUCAUACUGGAAAAGCAAGUUUCCUUCUAAAGACCUGCUGUAAAUGCAAUUUUCAGUAAAAGUGCUUUAUAAAUGUUCAUUUUUCCCCACCAUACCUUAAUAUGAAAUAAUUCAAACUACUCUUCUAAUCUUUCCAUGAGUGAUUUCCAUCACUUUGAUUAAGUAUAAAAAUUCAUUACUUAAGAAAACGUAAAAUCUAAAAUUUAUAAAAAUGGAAAGGGAGCUUAUGUCAAUAGAUAUAAACAAUUUAUCAAAGUUGCAUAAAAUUUUGUGAAAGUGUUAGUUAUUGUCCCAAAAUUGGAAAAUCCCCCUUUUUUUAAGCAUAAAAAUUCAUAACACGGAAAUGUAAAAUCUGAAAUUUAUAAAAAUUGAAAGGGAGCUUACAUCAAUAGAUAUAAACAAUUCACCAAAGUUUCAUGGACAUUGGUAAAAGCCUUUUUGAGUUAUUGUCCGAAGUGUUGAAAAUCCCCCUUUUUUUUAUGAAUAAAGCCCCAUAAAUCCAAAACUUAAAAUCUGAAAUUUAUAAAAAUGAAAGGGAGCUUACAUCAAUAGAUAUAAACAAUUCACCAAAGUUUCAUGUACAUUGGUGAAAGCCUUUUUGAGUUAUUGUCCGAAGUGUUGAAAAUCCCCCCUUUUUUAUGAAUAAAGCCCCAUAAAUCCAAAACUUAAAAUCUGAAAUUAAAAAAAAAAUGAAAGGGAGCUUACGUCAAUAGAUAUAAACAAUUCACUUAAGUUUCAUGGAAAUUGGUGAAAGUGUUUUCGAGUUAUUGUCCGAAGUGUUGACACCGGACAGACGGACAGACAGACGGACGGACAGACAACGAUAUACCAUAAUACGUCCCGUCUAAAAGACGACGGGCGUAUAAAAAUAAGGUUAAUAUCAAUUUAAUUAAUUAAAAAAAAAAAACACUUUUAUGUUACACAAGGCUCUGGUAUACAUGGUAUACAAAAAAAAAAAGCACUAAUUUUAUAAAUUAGGUGUACACCUGCAGCACAGGUAUAUAAAACAUAACAAUGUAAAAGUUAAGUAGCUAGGUGUACACCUUUAACAACAGUAUGUGAAACAAAACAAAAGUAAAGUUGGUGUACACCUUGAAAACUGGUAAGUAAAAUAGAAAAUAUUGUAAGGGUUCUGAAGAACUCAGUAUCUCACUUACUUUUGUUGUUAAUCGCAGCCUCAAAAAAAAGAGGGAAAAAAAUCAAUAACAAGAAUGUGUCCAAAGUACACGGAUGCCCCACUCAAUCCUUUUCCAUGUUCCAUGGACCGUGAAAUAGGAUAAAAAUCUAAUUUGGCAUUAAAAUUAGAAAGAUUAUACUAUAGGGAACAUGUGUACUAAGUUUCAAGUUGAUUUGACUUCAAUUUCAUCAAAAACUUUAACCUGAAACUUCCACUUUCAUUUUCUAUGUCAAGUGGACCGUGAAAUUGGGGUCAAAACUUUAAUUUGGCACUAAAAUUAGAAAAAUCAUAUCAUAAGCAACAAGUGUACUAAGUUUCCAGUUGAUAGGACUUCAGCUUCAUCAACUAGAGGCUCUUAAGAGCCUGUGUUGCUCACCAUGGUCUAUGUGCAUACAUGUACUGGUAGUAAACAAUGAACACAGAUCCAUUCAUGACAAAAUUGUGUUUUGAUGAUGGUGAUGUGUUUGUAGAUCUUACUUUACUGAACAUUCUUGCUACUUACAAUUUUCUCUAUCUAUAACAAACUUGGCCCUUUAGUUACACAGAGGAAAAUAUUUUGUAAAAAUUUACAAAAAAUUUAUAAAAUUAAUGAAAAUUGUUAAAAAUUGACGAUAAAGAGCAAUUACUCUUUGAGGGGGGUCAACUGACCAUUUAGGUCAUGUUGACUUAUUUGUAGAUCUUACUUUGUUGAACAUUAUUCCUGUUGACAGUUUAUCUCUAUCUAUACUAAUAUUCAAGAUAAUAACCAAAAACUGCAAAAUUUCUUUAAAAAUUACCAAUUGUGGGGCAGCAACCCAACAACCCAUUGUCCAAUUCAUCUGAAAAUUUCAGAACAGAUAAAUAUUGACUAGAUAAACAAUUUAACCCCUUUCAGAUUUGCUCUAAAUGCUUUGGUUUCAGAGUUAUAAGCCAAAAUCUACAUUUUACCCCAUGUUCUAUUUUUAGCCAUGGCGGCCAUCUUGUUUGGUUGGCCGGGUCACCAGACUCAUUUUUUUAACUAGAUACUCCAAUGAUGAUUGUGGCUAAGUUUGGUAAAGUUUGGCCUAGUAGUUUCAGAGAAGAUUUUUGUAAAAGACUACAAAAUUUACGAAAAAUUCGUAAAAAAUGACUCUAAAGGGCAAUAACUUCUUAAGGGGUCAACUGACCAUUUUGAUCAUGCAGACUUAUUUGUAGAUCUUACUUUGCUGAACAUUAUUGCUGUCUACAGUUUAUCUCUAUCUAUAAUAAUAUUCAAGAUAAUAACCAUAAAACAGCAAAAUUUCCUUUAAAUUGCCAAUUCAGGGGCAGCAACCCAACAACCGGUUGUCCGAUUCGUCUGAAAAUUUCAGGGCAGAUAUAUCUUGACUUAAUAAACAAUUUAACCCCCAUGUCAGAUUUGCUCUAAAUGCUUCGGUUUCAGAGUUAUAAGCCAAAAACUGCAUUUUACCCCUAUGUUCUAUUUUUAGCCAUGGCAGCCAUCUUGGUUGGUUGGCUGGGUCACAGAACACAUUUUUGUCGAGCCUUCGACUUUAGUCGAAAAAGCGAGACUAAGCGAUCCUACAUUCCGUCGUCGGCGUCCACAAAUAUUCACUCUGUGGUUAAAGUUUUUGAAAUUUUAAUAACUUUCAUAAACUAUCCUUGAUUUGUACCAAACUUGGACAGAAGCUUGUUUAUGAUCAUAAGAAAGUAUCCAGAAGUAAAUUUGUAAAAAUAAAAUUCCAUUUUUUCCGUAUUUUACUUAUAAAUGGACUUAGUUUUUCUGCGAGGAAACGUUACAUUCACUCUGUGGUUCAAGUUUUUAAAAUUUUAAUA
rnacentral:lncRNA from 1 species